rnacentral:rRNA from 1 species
GACGAACGCUGGCGGCGUGCUUAACACAUGCAAGUCGAACGGAAAGGCCCUGCUUUUGUGGGGUGCUCGAGUGGCGAAUGGGUGAGUAACACGUGAGUAACCUGCCCUUGACUUUGGGAUAACUUCAGGAAACUGGGGCUAAUACCGGAUAGGAGCUCCUGCUGCAUGGUGGGGGUUGGAAAGUUUCGGCGGUUGGGGAUGGACUCGCGGCUUAUCAGCUUGUUGGUGGGGUAGUGGCCUACCAAGGCUUUGACGGGUAGCCGGCCUGAGAGGGUGACCGGCCACAUUGGGACUGAGAUACGGCCCAGACUCCUACGGGAGGCAGCAGUGGGGAAUAUUGCACAAUGGGCGGAAGCCUGAUGCAGCAACGCCGCGUGCGGGAUGACGGCCUUCGGGUUGUAAACCGCUUUCGCCUGUGACGAAGCGUGAGUGACGGUAAUGGGUAAAGAAGCACCGGCUAACUACGUG